rnacentral:rRNA from 1 species
AAUGGUGGAAGCUUCCAGGAUCUCACGAGAGGACUUCCGUUGAACAAGCCGUUUUUCUUUCUUAUGUUUUAGUACAAACGCUUCAGUUAUAGAAUGUCAACUGUGUAUAACACAUUUAUAUACAACUUUCAGCAACGGAUCUCUUGGCUCUCGCAUCGAUGAAAAACGCAUCGAAAUGCGAUAAGUAAUGUGAAUUGCAGAAUUCAGUGAAUCAUCGAAUCUUUGAACGCACCUUGCACUCCUUGGUAUUCCGAGGAGUAUGCCUGUUUGAGUCUCAUGGUAUUCUCAACCCCUAAAUUUUUGUAAUGAAGGUUUAGCGGGCUUGGACUUGGAGGUUGUGUCGGCCCUUGUCGGUCGACUCCUCUGAAAUGCAUUAGCGUGAAUCUUACGGAUCGCCUUCAGUGUGAUAAUUAUCUGCGCUGUGGUGUUGAAGUAUUUAUGGUGUUCAUGCUUCGAACCGUCUCCUUGCCGAGACAAUCAUUUGACAAUCUGAGCUCAAAUCAGGUAGGACUACCCGCUGAACUUAAGCAUAUCAAUAAGCGGAGGAA